ACUCAAAUGAAUAGACGGGGGCCCGCACAAGCAGUGGAGUAUGUGGUUUAAUUCGAAGCAACGCGAAGAACCUUACCAGGGCUUGACAUCCCUCGAAUAAACUAGAGAUAGUUUAGUCCUACGGGACGAGGAGACAGGUGGUGCAUGGUUGUCGUCAGCUCGUGUCGUGAGAUGUUGGGUUAAGUCCCGCAACGAGCGCAACCCCUGUUGUUAGUUGCCAUCAAGUAAAGUUGGGCACUCUAGCGAGACUGCCGGUGACAAAUCGGAGGAAGGUGGGGACGACGUCAAAUCAUCAUGCCCCUUAUGUCCUGGGCAACACACGUACUACAAUGGCUACAACAGUGGGAAGCUAAGCCGCAAGGUGGAGCGAAUCCCCAAAAGUAGUCCCAGUUCGGAUUGUGGGCUGAAACUCGCCCACAUGAAGUCGGAAUUGCUAGUAAUGGCAGGUCAGCAUACUGCCGUGAAUACGUUCCCGGGCCUUGCACACACCGCCCGU
rnacentral:rRNA from 1 species